GCAAACAGGAUUAGAUACCCUGGUAGUCCACGCUGUAAACGAUGUCGAUUUGGAGGUUGUGCCCUUGAGGCGUGGCUUCCGGAGCUAACGCGUUAAAUCGACCGCCUGGGGAGUACGGCCGCAAGGUUAAAACUCAAAUGAAUUGACGGGGGCCCGCACAAGCGGUGGAGCAUGUGGUUUAAUUCGAUGCAACGCGAAGAACCUUACCUACUCUUGACAUCCAGAGAACUUAGCAGAGAUGCUUUGGUGCCUUCGGGAACUCUGAGACAGGUGCUGCAUGGCUGUCGUCAGCUCGUGUUGUGAAAUGUUGGGUUAAGUCCCGCAACGAGCGCAACCCUUAUCCUUUGUUGCCAGCGGUUCGGCCGGGAACUCAAAGGAGACUGCCAGUGAUAAACUGGAGGAAGGUGGGGAUGACGUCAAGUCAUCAUGGCCCUUACGAGUAGGGCUACACACGUGCUACAAUGGCAUAUACAAAGAGAAGCGACCUCGCGAGAGCAAGCGGACCUCAUAAAGUAUGUCGUAGUCCGGAUUGGAGUCUGCAACUCGACUCCAUGAAGUCGGAAUCGCUAGUAAUCGUAGAUCAGAAUGCUACGGUGAAUACGUUCCCGGGCCUUGUACACACCGCCCGUCACACCAUGGGAGUGGGUUGCAAAAGAAGUAGGUAGCUUAACCUUCGGGAGGGCGCUUACCACUUUGUGAUUCAUGACUGGGG
rnacentral:rRNA from 1 species